rnacentral:rRNA from 1 species
AACGAACGCUGGCGGCAUGCCUAACACAUGCAAGUCGAACGAGACCUUCGGGUCUAGUGGCGCACGGGUGCGUAACGCGUGGGAACCUGCCCUUAGGUUCGGAAUAACUCCCCGAAAGGGGUGCUAAUACCGGAUAAUGUCUUCGGACCAAAGAUUUAUCGCCUUUGGAUGGGCCCGCGUUGGAUUAGCUCGUUGGUAGGGUAAAAGCCUACCAAGGCGACGAUCCAUAGCUGGUCUGAGAGGAUGAUCAGCCACACUGGGACUGAGACACGGCCCAGACUCCUACGGGAGGCAGCAGUGGGGAAUAUUGGACAAUGGGCGAAAGCCUGAUCCAGCAAUGCCGCGUGAGUGAUGAAGGCAUUAGGGUUGUAAAGAUCUUUUACCCGGGAUGAUAAUGACAGUACCGGGAGAAUAAGCUCCGGCUAACUCCGUG